rnacentral:tRNA from 1 species
GCGGACAGGCCGGCAUCCUCCACAUCGGACUCUUAAUCCGCGGGUUCGGGGUUCGAGUCCCUGGCGGCGCA